GACGAACGCUGGCGGCGUGCCUAAUACAUGCAAGUCGAGCGAACAGACGAGGAGCUUGCUCCUCUGACGUUAGCGGCAGACGGGUGAGUCACACGUGGAUAACGUACCUAUCAGACUGGGAUAACUUCGGGACACCGGAUCUAAUCCCGGAUAAUCUCUUGAAGCGCAUGGUUCAAUAGUGAAAUUCGGCUUUGCUGUCUGUUAUAGCUGCAUAUCGGCCGCUUUAGCUAGUUGGUAGGUUAACGGCCUACGACGGCUACCAGGCGUGGCCGACCGGCGAGGGGGAUAGCCCACACGGGAACUGAGACACGGUCAAGACUCCUGAGGGAGGCAGCAGUAGGGAAUCGGCCGCAAUGGGCGGAAGCAUGACGGAGCAACGGCGCGUGAGUGAUAGAGGUCUUCGGAGCGGAAAAACCUGUUACGAGGUAAGAACAAAUGUGUAAGUAAACAUGCACGUCGUGACGGUACCGAAUCAGAAAGCCACGGCUAACUACGUG
rnacentral:rRNA from 1 species